CGGUCACGUGGUUCCGCACCUCCCUAGCGCGCGCCCGCCCGCCAGCUCGUCCCCGGCCCCGGCUCCUCCUCCUCCUCUUCUCGCCAUUGCAGUUGGACUCAGCAGCCCGGUGCGUACCGCGUGGCUUUUUGGGGAAGACCGAGGCGGGCUGUGGCCGGAGGGCGGUGGUUGCUGUCGAGGAAAGGGACCCAGACGAGAUAGUUGAAGUAUUGAUUAACACCAACGAAAUCUGUCAGUGUGAAAAGAUAAGCAAAAAUUUGAUUUCCAGACACUACAGAAAAAGACGUAAAAAUGCGUCCAGUACGAAUUUUUGUGAAUGACGAUCGCCAUGUGAUGGCAAAGCAUUCUUCUGUUUAUCCAACACAAGAGGAACUGGAAGCAGUCCAGAACAUGGUGUCCCACACAGAACGAGCUCUCAAAGCUGUGUCUGACUGGAUCGAUGAGCAGGAGAAAGUCAACAGUGAUAAUGCUGAGUCUGAGAACGUGGAUGUGCCCCAGGAGGAUGAGACCAAAGAAGGGACUGGGGAGCAGAAGACAGAGCACAUGACCAGAACCCUGAGGGGUGUGAUGCGUGUUGGCCUUGUGGCAAAGGGCCUGCUGCUCAAGGGGGACUUGGACCUGGAGCUGGUGCUGUUGUGUAAGGAGAAGCCCACAACGGCCCUCCUGGACAAGGUGGCUGACAAUCUGGCCAUCCAGCUCGCUGCUGUUACAGAAGACAAGUAUGAAAUACUCCAAUCUGUCGAUGAUGCUGCAAUUGUGAUAAAAAACACAAAAGAGCCUCCAUUGUCCCUGACCAUCCACCUGACAUCCCCUGUUGUCAGAGAAGAGAUGGAGAAAGUAUUAGCUGGAGAAACGCUAUCAGUCAACGAUCCCCCGGACGUUCUGGACAGGCAGAAAUGCCUUGCUGCCUUGGCGUCCCUCCGACACGCCAAGUGGUUCCAGGCCAGAGCCAAUGGGCUGAAGUCGUGUGUCAUUGUCAUCCGGGUCCUGAGGGACCUGUGCACUCGCGUGCCCACUUGGGGUCCCCUCAGAGGAUGGCCCCUCGAGCUCCUCUGUGAGAAGUCCAUUGGCACAGCCAACAGACCAAUGGGUGCCGGCGAGGCCCUGCGGAGAGUGCUGGAGUGCCUGGCGUCAGGCAUCGUGAUGCCAGAUGGUUCUGGCAUUUAUGACCCUUGUGAAAAAGAAGCCACUGAUGCUAUUGGGCAUCUAGACAGACAGCAACGGGAAGAUAUCACACAGAGUGCGCAGCAUGCUCUGCGACUUGCUGCAUUUGGCCAGCUGCAUAAAGUCCUGGGUAUGGAUCCUCUGCCUUCUAAGAUGCCCAAGAAACCAAAGAAUGAAAACCCAGUGGACUACACGGUUCAAAUACCCCCCAGUACCACCUACGCCAUUACGCCCAUGAAACGCCCGAUGGAGGAAGAUGGGGAUGAAAAGUCUCCCAGCAAAAAGAAGAAGAAGAUUCAGAAGAAAGAGGAGAAGGCAGAGCCUCCCCAAGCUAUGAACGCCCUAAUGAGACUGAACCAGCUCAAGCCGGGGCUGCAGUACAAACUGGUUUCCCAGACUGGACCAGUCCACGCCCCCAUCUUCACCAUGUCUGUGGAGGUAGAUGGCAACUCAUUCGAGGCUUCUGGACCAUCCAAAAAGACUGCCAAGCUGCACGUGGCUGUUAAGGUGUUACAGGACAUGGGCUUACCCACGGGCGCCGAAGGCAGAGACUCCAAAGGGGAGGACUCAGCCGAGGAGAUGGACACAAAGCCAGCCUUGCUGAUGCCUCCGCCUAUGAUGGAAGCUCUCUCAGCCCACAGCUCUCUCUUCUGUGAUCCCACUGCCGAGAACGUAAAACAGCAGGGGCCGAUCCUGACCAAGCAUGGCAAGAACCCUGUUAUGGAACUUAAUGAAAAGAGGCGUGGCCUCAAGUAUGAGCUCAUCUCAGAGACCGGGGGCAGCCAUGACAAACGCUUUGUCAUGGAGGUCGAGGUGGAUGGACAAAAGUUUCAAGGUGCUGGUUCCAACAAAAAGGUGGCCAAAGCAUAUGCCGCCUUUGCUGCACUAGAAAAACUGUUCCCUGAUACCCCUCUUGCCCUUGAUGCCAACAAGAAGAAGAGGGUCCCUGUGCCUGUGAGAGGGGGACCGAAAUUUGCUGCUAAGCCACAUAACCCUGUGUAUGGCAUGGGCGGCCCCAUGCACAAUGAAGUACCCCCGCCCCCUAACCUUCGAGGGCGGGGAAGAGGAGGAAACAUCCGUGGUCGAGGGAGAGGUAGAGGAUUUGGUGGUGCCAACCAUGGAGGCUACAUGAAUGCUGGCGCCGGGUAUGGCAGCUACUAUGGAGCCAACUCGGCAACCGCCGGCUACAGUGACUUUUUCACAGACUGCUACGGCUAUCAUGAUUUUGGGUCUUCCUAGAGCAUCUAAAAGUAUUGCACACAAAAUCAACUUUUUACUCCAAUUUUCUCGAACUCCAAAACCCAAAGUGUCCGUGCUGUGCCCUGUGCUUCACUGGGUUUCUCAACCGUGGCUUGUCACCGCAGCUUGUCUGAAACUCUUAGCCUGCAGAUUUUAAGACAAUGGCAGUUUUUAUCGUGAUUUGCCUUUGAACUUGGUCAUAUUGAAGUUCACAAUAAGUGGAAACCAAUUUUCAGAGAAUGUUUUUGUGCAGAAUUGCACAGAAUUCUAGAGUCAGCGUUGGUCAGCAUCAAGGCAAAAGCCCACCUUUUGCUUUUGGAAAGCAUUACUUUAUUUAAAAGAUAGAUAAUAAUGUAUUUUAAUCUACCUUUGUCUUAAUUUACAGCAGGUUAUGUAUGAAUUUUUAAUCUUAACAAAUUCCCAAAUCUGGUUGAUGCCUUUGACAGUAAUAAUUUCACCUCAUCUGAAUCCAGAGCCACCAGCCUUUUCUCUUUUUUUCUUUUUUCUUCUUUCCUUUCCUUUUUUUUUCUUUUUUUUUUUAAAUAAGUGUCUAAAACAUUGAGAACACUCAGGACUUGUAUAUUGUUCCAAGUUAACCUCUUCUGCCUUUUGUGAUGGGUUCUUGUUUGGGGACGCUUUAGCUAGUGAACUCUAAAAGGUAUCAAAACUGUGCUUCUGCUAUUAGUGUGAGAGAUAGGCUUUGGGAAGAGAACGUAGAAUUUGCAAGUCCUAAUCACUGCGGCAAAUGUAUGGGAUUCUAGGUUUUUUCCUUUUUUUUUUUUUUAAGCGGGGCUUCAAAAAUAAUCAGGAAGAGCCUAACACAUAGCGCAAUUCUCAGCAGGGCUCGUGCUGCUGGGUGCACAGCUGCAGCAGGUUCCAGAAGGCCUGGAGCGCUUCUGCCCUCUGAUUUUAGGAUGCAGGCUUGAGUUUGUGGCUUCGCCCUGUGAACAGAAGUACACAACGUUUUGGCUAUUGAAUGAGACCCCCAUUUCCUGGCGGGAGUUCUUCAGAAUGAGUAUAUUUUUGGCUCUGGUCAGCAGUUCUUUUUGCAACAAAGCCUGCUUCUGCAUUGACUUGCAAGAUUUUGCGUUUAUUCAGGCAAAAACUCGUCAAAACGGUUAUUUUGUUCCCAGGGGUUUGAAACAUUCAGUGAAACCUUUUAAAACUUUGAUUGCAUGUGUUUCUUUUUGUUUUUUUGUUUUUUUUAAGAACGUUAUUGUUUGAGAAUAAUGUCUUUUUAUACCAGGAAAUAGUUAUCCUGAAAUGACGUUGAAACCCCUCUCCCCUUUUUCCUUUUUUUUUUUUUUUUUUUCUUAAAUCAAUACAUGCGAAAGUAGUAAGCCCUCAUUCCCAAGCUGGCAGAGGGGCAGGGAGGCGCUUAGAGCAAGCCUUAGGCAGCAGAGGUGGCAGGGUUCUGAGAGGGGUUUGAAGAGGAUUCCUGUCUUCCAGCGUCCUCAUGGAGCUUUUGUAUGUUUACUCUCUUGCAUUCUGGGAAAUGUCCUUCUUGGUGUUUUGGCCUUGUGGAGGCAGGGGGUAGUUCUGGAGAAAAUUAACUGAUGUUGCAGAUCAGUUCUAUCUAAAUUAUUGUCUAAAUCACUCAAGACACAGCAGUGUGGGAUGUACAUCUCCAGUGGGCGGAAUGUGCUUGAGGACUCCCAAAUUAACCCUCUUCAAAAGGCAGGAGCCCCUUGGUGCUAAGUAUAGGAAGGAAGAGCAGGCUGUGCCUGCUCCUUUCUCCCACUCUGGGCGUAACGGCCUUGGUGACUUUGGCAGGGGCCGCACUAGCCAGCAAAGGUAUACAUAGGCUCACCUGCUCCCGGUGCCCAGGAGCUCUGCUGUCCCUGUGUGAGCACUAGGGAUUGUGCACAGGGUUGGAGAGCCACCUGCAUUAUCUGUUCUCUUCUCACCUUGCCUCAGCCGACCCAUCUUCUGUUGGUUUAUCUGAAUGGUGGGGGCUGUGUCUUCUAGUGUCUAUACUUAGUGACCACAUUGAGGUGGGGGCACCGUGACAUUCUUUGCUCCAGGGCCUGAGAAUGUGGUGGCCUCACUGCUUGCUUGUCAGUCCUGCCUCUCAAUCCUGCCUGUACCCAGCAGCUGUGCUGGGAGCAAGAAGGGUCCCUCUGAGGUGCCGCUCAAGGCAGUAGCUUGAGGCCCCGCCUGGUUGUUCAGAUCCCAUCCAUAGCCAGUUUCUUUUCCCCCUGAGGCUAUGGAAUCAUUACUAAAGAUAGGCAUUUGAGCUUAUUAUACCAGAGAGAUGCUCCAGGUCAUUUGUAAGUUUCCAUUUAUUUGGUCUUCCUAGAACCAGGUCAGACCACUUGGUCUUACAAGAGUAACACUGGUUUCAGAUGCAUCGUUAAAGAGCGUCUGCUGGGGUCACCCAGGCAUGUGACUGUAGAAUCUCUUCCCAGCACAGCAGGGGGGAGGUGGCAGGGGCCAGCUGCUUCUGUGGGGCUUUGCUUUUCCUGUCACCGUUGGGGACAUCUGGGUAGCAGUCAGUCUUGAAUGUCAUUCUGUACCCGGAGCCCUUCUCAUUGUAACGUUGACAUCCGCUGCAAAAGCUGCUGUCAGUCUGCUCUUGUGCUGCUGCUUGGCAAAGAUCCAUUGUUGUCAUCAGCUGAUGGGUGAGUGGAGCUGAAGGCUGGGCCAGCCCAAACCAGGCUGCUUAAAGGACCAGAGCUGCUGCUCCUCUCUCCUGCCUCUUUCUUGGCCUGGUCAGUGGGCUUGUGGGUCACCUGGCUCUUGGGUCAGCCUUUAGGACCCACAGCUGCAACCUCCUCCUCCCCCAUCUCCCAAUCCUCUGCCUGACCUGCUGCCUUCCUCUUUAGGUCAGUUCUACAGCAAUGGAGGGCAUUCUGGGAAUGCCGGCGGCGGGGGCGGUGGUGGCUCUUCUGGCUACGCCUCCUACUACCAAGGUGACAGCUACAACUCACCAGUGCCGCCGAAACAUGCUGGGAAGAAGCAGCCACAUGGCCAGCAGAAGCCCUCCUAUGGCUCAGGCUACCAGUCCCAUCAAGGCCAGCAGCAGUCCUACAACCAGAGCCAGUACAGCAACUACGGCCCACCGCAGGGCAAGCAGAAAGGCUAUAAUCAUGGACAAGGCAACUACUCCUACUCAAACUCUUACAGCUCUCCCGGAGGCGGGGGCGGAUCAGACUACAGCUACGAGAGCAAAUUCAGUGAGUUGGCCUCCAGAGCCGCUUGGCCUGGCCAGGGUCUGGGCUGGUGGCACGUCCUGUUGAGUUUCAGAAGCUCAGCACUGCCCCGACCUCCAGAGGGGCUGGAAGGGCACGGGGUGGUGCUGGCUGAAGGGCGGGUGUUAGGAUAAUUCUGGAAGCAAAGUCCUCCGGCCCAGGUCUUUGCUAUCCCCUUGUCUUUGCCUCAGGUCCCGGAAGCUGUGGGCUGAGGCUGGGGCAUGAGCUUAGAUAGAACUCUAAGUCUGGGCAGCAGCUAUGAGGUAAUCUCUAGGAAGGGGCUCUGGAAGCAGUGGUCACCCAGCACCUAACAGAUCCUGUUACUUCUCCUUCGACCUCAUGCACAGAGCCUGAAUGCUGAAGCUCCAUUAGUGGCCCAGCUGGGGAAACAUGUGCAUGUGCAGGACAGCAGGCAGCCUUAAAGAAGCUGUGCUGUCUUUGUGGGCCUGUCAGAGGCCGAGUGGGAGAGGGGAGGAGAGGAGGUUAUGGGAGGCUUUGGUUGGAAAAGCAGGUGAGAAGGCAUGGUGGAACUGAGCUUUAAAACUUGAUGUUACAGGGCUCCAGGGCCCCUGGCACUUCAUGGUUGGACUGAUGUGUACCAAAUUUAAACAGCUAAGACAGGGAGCUGUGCAAAGGCCCAGGGUCUCAGUCAAGGGCCUGCCACUUUAGGACCACAGGACAAGGAACCUAAACUGCCCAGGUGUAUCUUGGCUGUAGCCCCUUAACUAUGCUGUCUUCUCUCCCCCAGACUACAGCGGUAGUGGAGGCCGAAGUGGCGGGAACAGCUACGGCACAGGAGGGUCGUCCUACAAUCCAGGGUCACACGGGGGCUACGGUGGAGGUUCUGGGGUUGGCUCCUACCAAGGCAAACAAGGCUAUGCGUCACAGUCGAACUACAACUCCCCGGGGUCCGGCCAGAAUUACGGCCCUCCCAGCUCCUACCAGUCAUCACAGGGGGGCUAUGGCAGAAAUGCAGAUCACAGCAUGAACUACCAGUACAGAUAAAGCCCUCAGGGGUGAAGAUUUGUACCUUCUGCACUUACCCCCCCCCCCCCCCGCCGUUGUAAGAUUCAGUUUUAUGCAUCACAGUUAACAUGUCAACAGGCCCCUCCGCCCUCCCCUGUCCACAUUGCUGUGUUGUGAGGUGCAGCUGGUCACUCCUGUGGCCCGUCCUGUGACCCCUAUUUAGCCGUGUUUGGGACUCCAUGUCUUCAAUGGUUUGUUAGUUGCCAUUACAACUUGUCUGAGUAGUUUCUUGAGUUCUUGCAGUUAAGUAUCCUUCUGUCUAUUUACAAUUGGUGUUAGUGUUAACUCAGUUUGUCUUUAAAUAGUUACGGAAGGGAUACGUCAUCUGUUAAUGCUUUUGUGAAGUGAGUUAAACGAGCUUUCUGUAUUCUAAUGCUUUAGUGUUUCAGUUUUAUAAGUGAAGAUUUUAUUUUAAAAACCAGUGGGGAAGAGUGGGGGUUUUUUUUGUAUGUCUGGAUCAUUCAGGCAGUACAUCUGAAUUAAGCUGAAUGUAGACAAAUAAAGAAAAACAAAACUCUG